rnacentral:lncRNA from 1 species
UGUACACCUAUAUAACGAACUUUUGCCUUUUUUAUAACUAUCUCUUGUAGUUUUUUCUCUUUCCAAUCAAGUAUGUUAUUAUUCUCAAUUCUACUUUUUUUUAAAAAUUUGUAUGUGGUGUUGAUGUUUUUUCUUCAGUUGUUCGUACAGUUUGAUAAAAUUUUGGAAAGAAAAUGAUUAUAAAAUAAAAAAAUUUAUUUCUUUAAGGAAAAAAAAUUAUAUAUUAAACUACUUGUUCCAUAGCAUUAAAAAUAAGAAAAAAUAUUAUGCUACAGUCUAUAGCUCUAUACCUACCUAUACAUUAUUUCCCAUAGCUUUGCCACAUGGCAAUUCCUCCUUCACUCUUGCCUUUUUCUUCCUUUCCACUCCUUUGUGCUUUGUCUUCCCACAUCCUAUAUGUUUCAUCUUUUUAUUCACUGAUUUUCUAAUUAAUGCAUUCACAUGGUCUAUUAUCAUUUGAACAAAUCACUUUCACAAAAAAAAUUAAUAAAAUAAGAUCUCUUCAUACUCUUUUCUUUUAUACUAUUUAUAUUUAUUGAUAAUUCAUUGCAACUAAAAAAAUUUUAAAAUUGUUACUUUAUCAAUAUUUUGUCUUUUUUACAAUAUGAGCGGCAAUACGCAAGUAACUUCACUAGUGUCUACAUUAUUGCUACCAAAAUGGGCAGGGUUUAGUUUUUUUUCCCCACACCUAAAAGAAUUUUGGCUAUGCAUCCUACAUGAAAUUUUUUUAUAAGUCAAACUUUACAAAACUAUAUAUAGUAUUUUUCGCCUUUUCUUAUAGCUUUUUCUUCCUCUAUCAAAAUAUGUAUAGUAUUUUCUCUUUUUUAAUAUGUUUUUUAAAUUGUGUGUGGUAUUGAUUUAUUUCCUUUGAUUAAUGAAAUUUUCGAAAGUGAAGGAUUAGAAAAUAAUAAAAGUUAUCUUUAAGAAAAGAAAAAUUAUACAUUAAUAUGUUAUAGAAAUAUUUUUUUGCAAGUUAAGUUUU